GCCAUGCUGGGGCCACCCUAAGGGGUUUCCUACAAUAAAAAUUCAGGGAAAUUUCAGUCACCCUACCUGUCCCUUCCCUGAGCCUUCAGCAGUCUUUUCCAUCCAUGUGAAAAACUGGUAAAGUGGCUGCUUGCCAAGCUGGCGGCUCGGCUGGCUGCUCCUCCUCCUCUUGCUGCCCUCGCCCCACAGCCCUGCGGGACGUCGCAGCCCUGUGGGAUGUCGCAGCUCUGGGUUUCCCCCUUUCCCGACAGGAAGAAGUAAUUGAUAUCAAGUCCUGGUGGCUUAAGGAGAUACCAGUUUACUGCUGCCAGCACCACAGGUGUCAUAGCAGCAGCAAAGGCAGCAAACCUGGAGGCGGUGGAUCGAAUUGAUCCUCCUUUGGGCCAACAAAUACACAGAGGUACUUCAUCCCCGGAAAGUAUGGGAAAGCCCAACAAAGAGUGCUUGGAACAAAUAUUGGCUGAUGUGCCCGAAGAGAGGCUGUGAGGGCUGCAUGGGCCUUUGGAGCUCUGAGAAGCUGAAUCAGUGAUGGAGGUCUCUCUCAUUGUCUUUCUGUUCAGGUGCUCCUGAUGCUGUCCCUCCAGUGAUGGUCUCCCCAGGACUGUGCUGCUAUCUUAUUUCCUUCCCUUUCCUCCCCUUCCUGGGGAUGGCGGAUGAAUUUACACAGACACUCACACAUCAUGUCUUACACUGUAUUCUCUUCUUAUUCCUGUGUAUCAGGCUUUCCAGGUGGCUCAGAGGUAAAUUAAAGUAAACUGAAAUUCAGAUUUGCAAACUAAACAAUGCCAGGACCUGUUUUCUAGCCUGAAGGCUAACAGGUUUGUUCUGGCCACAUCCAUGCUAUUUAAAUGUCUUAAUGUAUGAAACAAGAUGUGCCGUAUGCAGCUACCCAUUGAGAACAAUGCCUGGCCCAUGCUAACUCCUGAACUCUACCUGGCUGACCUGAGCCAAAAAUCACGCCAGGGAACAUGCUUGUGGGCAGUUAAUUGCUCUCUGAUGCUCUUUAAAUUUACUAGACAUAGACUGAGGAUCAAUUUUUGAUUAAUUUGCUGCUACUUCUCAUUUGGUUUUCAUUAACGCCAUUAGGUUAUGCAGAGGAAAAUGACAUCCAGAAGUGGUCUGCUGAUUUUGCUCUCCAUGCACGCCUAAGCAGUCUGCAGGCUUCAGCUAGACCUGUGUUUCAGCCUUCUUUUUCUUGGUCAGACUGGCAGUUAAUUUGACCAAUUUGGAGCUUGAAUAUACAUGUUCCUCAUCACUGGCUGUUAAAUAGCAUUGGACUGGGUAUGGAUCCUAAAAUUUAUUCCAUUAUCCAUGAGUUAGUAAUGAUCAAAAACAACAUGCUAAGAGAAGUGAUGGUUUCCAUUAAGAUUGUGUUAUACUAGUGUUUACAAGACACAAACUUCAGAUAAUUGUCUCUCUUAUUGGCUUGCUUUGAAUGGUUUUGAAGACUUUAACUGUCUUUAGAUAUUCGAGGAAUGCUUGAAAAAAAGCAGAGGGCCACAUCAAGGAAGAAGAUAAAAACUCUGUUGUUCUGAAGAUCACAAUAGACACUGGUAUCUUUGAACAGCUAGCAAGCACUUUAAAAAAAGCACCUGACUGGUCAUUUAAAUAAUAACUUUUUAUUGUACCUUCUACAAUCUGUAAAUCAAGAACAGGCUUGCAAAGCAAACACUGUGUAGUUUUACUGAGAACAUGGACGUCACAGUUUAGAUCCUCAAAUGUUCUUUCUGCAUAUUAUUUAAAUAAUUUAUAUUAGCCUGGGUACUCCCACGGCAUAUAGGGAAUACUAGUUAUGCUAGACACACUAGAAUUACAACCUCAUUGUAAAAUCUGUCUGCAGUUAAGGUCUCACCCUGAAAGACAACUAAGAGUCCUGAACUUCUGUUACUUAAGGGCAUCACUUCUUAAAAUGGUAAUUCAUCAUUAAGUGACUUGAACAGAGCACAGUCUACUUAUUGUGUAUGUCAACC